CCUACGGGAGGCAGCAGUGAGGAAUAUUGGUCAAUGGGAGAGAUCCUGAACCAGCCAAGCCGCGUGAGGGAAGACGGCCCUAUGGGUUGUAAACCUCUUUUGUCGGAGAACAAAACCAGGGACGUGUCCCGGACUGCGUGUAUCCGAAGAAAAAGCAUCGGAUAACUCCGUGCCAGCAGCCGCGGUAAUACGGAGGAUGCGAGCGUUAUCCGGAUUUAUUGGGUUUAAAGGGUGCUUAGGCGGUCCGUUACGUCAGCGGUAAAAUUGCGGGGCUCAACCCCGUCGAGCCGUUGAAACUGGCAGACUGGAGUUGGCGAGAUGUAGGCGGAAUUCGUGGUGUAGCGGUGAAAUGCAUAGAUAUCGCGCAGAACCCCGAUUGCGAAGGCAGCGUACCGGCGACAGACUGACGCUGAGGCACGAAAGCGUGGGGAUCGAACAGGAUUAGAUACCCCUGUAGUC
rnacentral:rRNA from 1 species